UACAGAGGGUGCGAGCGUUGUCCGGAAUUACUGGGCGUAAAGGGCUCGUAGGCGGCCAACUAAGUCAGACGUGAAAUCCCUCGGCUUAACCGGGGAACUGCCUCUGAUACUGGAUGGCUUGAGAUUGGGAGAGGGAUGCGGAAUUCCAGGUGUAGCGGUGAAAUGCGUAGAUAUCUGGAGGAACACCGGUGGCGAAGGCGGCAUCCUGGACCAACACUGACGCUGAGGAGCGAAAGCCAGGGGAGCAAACGGG
rnacentral:rRNA from 1 species